rnacentral:rRNA from 1 species
AACUCUUACGGGAGGCAGCAGUAGGGAAUAUUGGGCAAUGGACGAGAGUCUGACCCAGCCAUGCCGCGUGCAGGAAGAAGGUCCCUCUGGAGUUGUAAACUUGCUUUUAUAUCGGGAACAAACAGCUCUUGUCAUAGAAAUUUGAUGUACUGAUAGAAUAAACAACCGCUAACUCCCUGCCCACCACCCCGGUAAUAAUA